UUUUGUUUGUGCUGUGAUGAAGAAGGAGUCUGUGCUGUGGGGAGCUACCCAUGACCAAUCAUGGAGAAGUGAGCAGGUGCACGAGAAGCCAGGAGGAAGCACAGCCAGGACAUCUGAUUCAAACUGACCAAAAGGAUAGUGCAUAUCCUGUAAGGCAUCACGUCCAGUCCUUAAACUGGAGGGAUUUGGCUGGGCGCCACUAAUUGCUGCUCAGGGACUGGCUGAGUGCUUGG